GGUCUAGCGGCGGACGGGUGAGUAACGCGUGGGAACGUGCCCUUUGCUACGGAAUAGUCCCGGGAAACUGGGUUUAAUACCGUAUGUGCCCUUCGGGGGAAAGAUUUAUCGGCAAAGGAUCGGCCCGCGUUGGAUUAGGUAGUUGGUGGGGUAAUGGCCUACCAAGCCGACGAUCCAUAGCUGGUUUGAGAGGAUGAUCAGCCACACUGGGACUGAGACACGGCCCAGACUCCUACGGGAGGCAGCAGUGGGGAAUCUUAGACAAUGGGGGCAACCCUGAUCUAACCGUGCCGCGUGAGUGAUGAAGGCCUUACGGUUGUAAAGCUCUUUCAGCUGGGAAGAUAAUGACGGUACCAGCAGAAGAAGCCCCGGCUAACUCCGUGCCAGCAGCCGCGGUAAUACGGAGGGGGCUAGCGUUGUUCGGAAUUACUGGGCGUAAAGCGCACGUAGGCGGACUGGAAAGUUGGGGGUGAAAUCCCGG
rnacentral:rRNA from 1 species